GACAAACGCUGGCGGCGUGCCUAAUACAUGCAAGUAGAACGCUGAAGAGAGGAGCUUGCUCUUCUUGGAUGAGUUGCGAACGGGUGAGUAACGCGUAGGUAACCUGCCUUGUAGCGGGGGAUAACUAUUGGAAACGAUAGCUAAUACCGCAUAACAAUAGGUGACACAUGUCAUUUAUUUGAAAGGGGCAAUUGCUCCACUACAAGAUGGACCUGCGUUGUAUUAGCUAGUAGGUGAGGUAACGGCUCACCUAGGCGACGAUACAUAGCCGACCUGAGAGGGUGAUCGGCCACACUGGGACUGAGACACGGCCCAGACUCCUACGGGAGGCAGCAGUAGGGAAUCUUCGGCAAUGGGGGCAACCCUGACCGAGCAACGCCGCGUGAGUGAAGAAGGUUUUCGGAUCGUAAAGCUCUGUUGUAAGUCAAGAACGAGUGUGAGAGUGGAAAGUUCACACUGUGACGGUAGCUUACCAGAAAGGGACGGCUAACUACGUG
rnacentral:rRNA from 1 species